CAUAUUUGACCCCCAGAGGGUGAUAUUGUGUAAACUGGAAGAGACUCUUCUAAAAAAAAAAAAAAAAAAUUCUACCUCACUUCCGUGAGCUUCUUUACCUUACAGCUCACAGAGGCACACAUUCUGAGUAGGCUAGGCACCAGGAGCAGUCAUUGUCAAGGAAGCGUCUCUUACUAUCUCUAGAACUUAGCCUUUGAACGGGGAUUUCUGGAAACUCAAAUUUUCCUUGUUACAAAGACUCAGUGCAAUCCGGCAGGCUUCUUCCUGCUCCUCAGGGGAAAUCUUCCAGAACACAGCCGUCAGCUUCCUCACCGCCUAGCUAUGUGCUCAGUGACCAUCCUGCUGUUUGGAAUGCUCUUCACAGUGAGAGGAACGGGAGCCCAGUCAGUGACUCAGCCUGAUGCUCAGGUGUUGGUCUCUGAAGGAGCCCGUCUGGAGCUGAAGUGCAACUAUUCCUCUAGUGGAACGACUUAUGUCUUCUGGUACAUGCAGUACCCCAAGCAAGGACUCCAGCUUCUCCUCAAGUACAUAUCAGGGGACAUCCUGGUUAAAGGCCUCAACGGUUUCGAGGCUGAAUUUAGGAGGAAUGAAAACUCCUUCCACCUGAGGAAAUCCCCAGCCUUUGGCAGCGACGCGGCUGAGUACUUCUGUGCUGUGAGUGACACGGUGCCUGGGACUGCAGGGGUACCUGAACACAAACUUCCUGAGACACCACAGUUUUCAGAGACUCAAAGACACAGUCUGACUUGCUUUUAGCAAGGUCUGUCAUUUGAUGGAAGUGAGCAAAUGGAGGAAGAGACCUCUGGGGGGUGCUUGGCUGCUGGCUCCUGAGGAUAAAUAGGAACUUCACCGUGUAUCUUCUUUUACUACUGGGUCAUGUAGACAAGUCCUGGAACAGAGACACUUGUAUGGAUAUUCUCCUGCCAUUUGGGGAUAUUGCAUUCUAGAGGGUCCGGAUUCCACUUUAAUGUGACCAAUACUGACCUUCUAAUCUUUCACUUUCUGAACUCACCUCCAACAUGCUCCCCACACCAUCUUUUGCUUUUUUUACUUUCUAACAGCUCCAUUCUUUCAGUCUCUGGUCAUAACUCAAGAGUUAUUUUUGAUUCUUAUUUUUUCUCUCACUGUUGACAUCUAAUCCACCAAAAACUCCAGGUGGCCCUAUCUUUAAAACUGAUCCAUAAUCUGACCACUCCUACCAUCUUCACUAUACCUCCCUGGUCAAGCCCCCCUCAUCUCUCAGAUGAAUUACUCUGAGAGUCUUCUAAGGGUCCCUUGGCUUGUCCUUCUACACUUCCUCCUUCUUCUUCCUCCUCCUCCUCCUCCUCCUCCUCCUUCUUCUUCUUCUUCUUCUUCUUCUAUUUUUUUUUAAGAGCUGGGUCAGCCAAUCAGCUUUUUAAAAAAAUGUUUAUUUAUUUAUUUUUGGGAGAGAGAGCGGUAGAGAGGGGGCAGGGGAGGGGCAGAGAGAGAGGAAGACAGAAUCCCAAGCAGGUUCUGCACUCUCAGUGCAGAGUGUGUUGCGGGGCUCAAACUCACGAACCUCGAGAUCGUGACUGAGCCAAAAUCAAGAAUCAGGUGCUUAACUGAAGCACCCAGGCACCCCUACAGUUCCUUGUUAAUACAGCAGUGUCUUCCUCACUUUGGGCUGCUGUAUCAAGUACCGUUGACCAGGUGGCUUACAAACAACAGAAAUUUAUUUCUCACAGUCUUCAAGGCUGGAAGUCUGAGAUCAGAGUGCCGGCAUGGUUGGGUUCUGGUGAGUAUUCCUUCCCAGACUGCAGACUGCCACCUUCUCGGUGCAUCUUCAUGUGGCAGAGAGCAGAGAAGAGCAAGCUCUGUCAGGACUCCUGUAAGGUCACUAAUCCCAUUCAGGGCUCCACUCUCAUGACCUCACCUAAUCCUAAUUACCUCUCCAGAGCUCCACCUCCUACAAUCAUCACAUUAGGGGGUGGAGUUUCAACAAAUGAAUUUUGGAGGGCACACAUUCAGUCCAUGACAAGCAGCCCAUGUGAUUCUUUAAAACAUAGGUCAGGGGUGCCCGGGUGGCUCUGUUAAGCAUCAGACUACAGCUCAGGUCAUGAUAUUGCACUCCGUGAGUUCGAGCCCCGUGUCUGGCUUUGCACUGACAGCUCAGAGCCUGGAGUCUGCUUCGGAUUUUGUGUCUCCCUCUCUCUCUCUGCCUCUCCCUGACUCACACUCUGUUUUUCUCUCUCAAAAAUAAAGAACAUUAAAAAACAUCUAAAAAAUAAAAAAAAAAAAAAAAAAAAACAAGAGCAACACAGGUCAGAUCAUGUCACAUAAAUGCUUUCAGUAGUUUCCCAUUUUUCUCAAAGUCCUUACAAUGGCCUAUAGACUCUACAUGAUCUUCUCCUGUUACCUUUUUAAAAUGCUAAGGGGGAAAAAUUAGUUUUCAAUCCUGAAAACCACAGCCAAUGAAAAUUCCCUACUGAGAUUAUGGUAAAAUACUUUCUCCAGUGAAGGAAAACAGAAUUCACUGUUAAGUGGACCUACCUUAAAAGAAAUCCUGAAGAAAGUUCUUCAGACUGAAAAGAAAUGAUACCAGAGGAAAAUCUGG